AACCAACAAAGUACACGAUCGUUGAUCGGCAAAGAGACACCGCAAGAAUACUAUCGGCACGACGAAACGAGACUCGAGAGCCGCGAGUUGCGAACACUGUGAGUGAGCAAGAUCGUGGCCGGUACCGUGUCAUGUGGACUCGCUCAAAGAAUGGAUUCGUCCGGCUUCCCCACCACUUGGAUUCACAGCUCUUGCCAUAUAUGGGCAUAAAACGAAAGCGGCUCGCUGAUUGGUCGGUUGGCCGGCUGCCGGCUAGAUUCUCCAAAUGCCGCUUCAAACUGUACGAUACGGGGAGCAUAAUGCCUUCUGGAAGCGUACACUAGCUAAGGGCUUUCCUGACUAACCGUCAGAGCUGUUUGUAGUAGUAAACGUAUCAAUACGUACGAACGUAUAUGUGAAGAUUAUCACGUUCUUUGUGUGCGCGUGCUAGCGACCAGUACCGGCAGUAGGUAUGAGUCAGAAAAAGUUUUGUUAUAUACUUUGGAAUGGUCAACAUUUUUUUUCACUUGAUGCAAGUCGAAACAGUUGUCAUUGAGAUUUAAUGAUCCUCUACUCAUUCGUAAGCUUUCAUGGAAAUUCCUAUCUGUGAAAUAAUAUUAUGAAGUUCGUCGAAUUUAUGUUACGAAAUUUAAUGAAAUAGGAAUCAUGUUACUAAUCCCGGGACAUUUUUCACCUAAUCAUCUUUUGCCAUUGAUUUCUUAAAUUUGAGGAAAAUGUGAGAGAACUCUUAUUCGUAGGCCUGAUUUUUUGUUCCAAUUUUAUGCUAAAUUCUUUCCACAAGAAAAACUCGUAUUUCUUGAUAUAUAUAUAACCUAUUUACCGUCUUGUUUACUUAAAAAAUUAUUAGCAAAAAUCAUAUUUCUUUCGCAUUAGUUGUAAUUACAUAACAUAUCUUGGCACUAGAUUUAUUCCUUAACCAGGAUAUGGUAUGAUUAUAUUUGAAGAAAGCGAAUCUUCGAACGAGAAAGGGUAACAAAUUGUCUUUCCGUAAAAUUUGAUAAAAUAAUAUUCCUUUACAACAACAUAGUCAAACCUCCAAACCAACAUAGUCAAGCCUUUACAACAUAGUCAAAUAGAAUAAGCUGGCGUUAGUAGAAGGUCAUUGAUGAUUUAUUUCCAAAAAAUUCAGUUACUGUGUCACUUUCAAUAUUAAUGAAUGUUAGUGACUCAUAUUAUUGUAGUAAUAAUCUGCAUACCAUGUUUAGUACUACUUGUCUUCUUUUAAAAAAUUGCGCCAGAAGGAAAAUAAUUCGCAAGAAGGAUUUAGAAAGUCAGUAGGUCAGACUUCACUAUUUAUGCAUACUCAUUGUCUAGAUUUCGUUUUAGAGUAGGACAACUAAUGUCUGCCUAAAAGUUAACAUGUUUUUGAAGUAUUUUAAGGUAGGCUUAGAGUAAGUAAUUAAAUGAUGUUCGUCCACCCACUUAUUGCGUGUGGUAUAUGUCAUCUCGGCCGCCUUUUUCAUACAACAGAAGCUAAAAAUAGACUCAAGGGCGCGGAUAAGGGUGCACUGGACUACUACCACGUCACGUAAGCCCUAUGCUUCGGCCCUAUUUCCUGUAUAUGUGUCGGUCCGACGGAAGGCGGCAUGGUGUGUGUGAGUGCAGUGUCUGCUUCAAAAUCGAUACGCGUGUUCGUGCAGUCUACAAUGGUACAUCGUACUUGUGCACGGAAACCACGUGGUGAUGGAAACGUCAAAGUACGACUGGUGAUACUGCUUGUUAUUUUGUCGUAAAACAUUUUGUAAUUAACAUGUUUAUCAGUCGUAAUCAUUACUAUUAAUAAAGCAUGUUGUUAUCAGUUAAAAAGCAAAAUACAAAGAAAUUAAUUAAUAGUGACGUUGAUGAAAUAUCGUUCGUUUAAAUAUACAAUUAUACGUUUUUUAAGUCGUAAUAGCGUUUGAGUUAACACAAUAUCGUAAAUCUUAAAAUCUAUUUAAAAAUGUGUUUUCAAAGUUGGCUCAUUCAUAUUAACAGAACAUUCGCAUACAUACUUUGAACUUAAUGCCUUAUAAGAAAUACAUGUGAGAUACGUACCAUUGAUUAUUAAUAUAUUGUUUAAGUUUGGACAUUGCGAAAGGUAUAGUGAAGGAAACAGAACAGUUUUAUAAAUACACCUGCCACGUUCCUUUGUCGAAAUAGUGCUUUGAUGACAUAAUCAGUGAAUCAUUUGUACCUAAUAAGAAAUCGUAUCGGGUUAUGCACUCGUUCCUCUAUGAGGACGUGUCAAAUUCUGUUCUUGAUUUUAUUUUUGAUUCCGUGUAGAAUUUCAUGAUUAUUUUUAUUUUUUAAAUUUAACCACCAUACUUUAUAUGGACGUCAAAUUUAAAUGUACGUCAUUAAUGUGCCAGAUAAACGGAUGGACUGCUUCACCCAAGUCUAACCUAACCUCGAAACAUCGAAGCCGGCACCCAGCUGUCACACGCACACAGCAUCUUUAUACACGUCAAUUUCGUGUAACUCCAUUGUCCUUUUAACCGCUCAGGUUUUUAUUAGACAAUACGUUAUUUUACUCAAGUAUAAUAUCAAAAGAUAAAUACAAUACAAUGGUAUCUACGGAAAUUAUUUUUAUUGAUUAUACAAAGUUCAAAGAGAGUAUAUGAGUCAUGCAGAAACCGAACCGAUGAACUGUAUUUCUUGAAAAUUUCAUAAUUUUUGUCAUAUUAGCGUUUAGUUUUAUAGAAACCAAACGAUUAACCUCUAUCAAAAUUUGUUCCCCGCUAUUGGCCAGAUCGACUUCUACGUGGUUCAUAUAAAAACACAUGCUAUACACGUUUCGAUGAAAAUUACAGCACAGAUAGAAAUAUGCAUAUUUGCAAUUGACAAUAUGUAUGACUAUGCCUUAUGUAUGACUAUGUUUCAACAGCAGGCGUAAGUAUUAACCUUCGCUGCUCCAGCUGCUCCUGCUGUAUCACACGACGUGUCUCUAUUUACUUUCUCCGUUAUCGUGACAGGUCCGCAAUAGGAAGAAUUAAAUCCAAGUAAGGUGGAGGUGCAUUGUGGGCGGCCUGAAAACCCAAUGGUCCGCAAAGCCUCGACCUUGCUUACCAAAUAAGGUCCCGUUCAAGGUCUUCGAGGCCUUGCGUAAGGCUGUGCCAUCGGCAUAACGAUUAACCGAUUAUGUCCACGCUUUAGUCAUCAGUCGUUUUCAGUGAAAGUGUCUGGUGCAGUUUCCAUGAGAGGAUCGACAUAUUUUGUACGUUCUUUAAUCUCCAUGGGAUCACCGAUUUCGUUCUAUGGAAAGUCCGGAUUGGGCGUGUCUGCCCUACACGGACACGUGCCGUAGGUAACGUCUGGCUCCAGUCGCGCAGUGCCACCGAAAUCAAUACGGAAUGCGACGGUAAGUUCAACGCACCCACCCAGAAGAGUACUUAAGGUUCUUUCUCAUUGGACUAGCCGCGUGCAUUCGGUCCAGACAGUGAAACUAUCGGGAAUCACCGUAACGAGGUCAAAGACCUUACAUAACACACCUUUCGCGAAUCGAAAAUUUACGGAAAGAAAUGUCAAACUCGAGGAAACGCUUUGAAAGUCGAAGUUGAAGUGGAUUAUUCUUGACAAAAAGUGACCGUAGUUAGGAAUUUCCUGUAAACAGGAGAAUUCUAGUUAUUCGUCGCAAAUUUUUAAUAAAAUUUAUUAUUAUAACA